AUUGAACGCUGGCGGCAUGCUUUACACAUGCAAGUCGAACGGGCUUAGGGGCUUGCUCCUACGUUAGUGGCGAACGGGUGAGUAAUGCAUCGGAACGUACCGUGUAGUGGGGGAUAACCCGGCGAAAGUAGGAUUAAUACCGCAUACGAUCUAAGGAUGAAAGCAGGGGAUCGCAAGACAUUGCGCUAUACGAGCGGCCGAUGUCGGAUUAGCUCGUUGGGAGGGUAAAGGCCUACCAAGGCAACGAUCCGUAGCGGGUCUGAGAGGAUGAUCCGCCACACUGGGACUGAGACACGGCCCAGACUCCUACGGGAGGCAGCAGUGGGGAAUUUUGGACAAUGGGCGAAAGCCUGAUCCAGCCAUGCCGCGUGAGUGAAGAAGGCCUUCGGGUUGUAAAGCUCUUUUGUCCGGGAGCAAAUCCUGUUCACUAAUACUGAGCGGGGCUGAGAGUACCGGAAGAAUAAGCACCGGCUAACUACGUGCCAGCCGCCGCCGUAAGAC
rnacentral:rRNA from 1 species